CCGGCAAGGCGUACCCGCAGUGUCGGCCGAUCGCGAACCCUUAUGUGGCGAGCGUGUCGAGUUGGAGCGCAUCCGCUGGGACCCGAAAGACAGUGAACUAUGAGUGAGUAGGGUGAAGCCAGAGGAAACUCUGGUGGAGGCUCGAAUGGGGGUACUAACGUGCAAAUUGUUCUUUGAACUUGCUCAUAGGGGCGAAAGACUAAUCGAACUGUCUAGUAGCUGGUUCCCUCCGAAGUUUCCCCCAGGAUAGCUGGAGCUCGCGGUUAAUUGUAAACAGUUUCAUCCGGUAAAGCGAAUGAUUAGAGGAACCAGGGGGCGAAAUGCCCUUUGCCUAUUCUCAAACUUUAAAUGGGUGAGAGGGGGACGUUGCCCAAGCGAACGAACCCCACCGAAUGGAGAGCUCUUAGUGGGCCAUUUUUGGUAAGCAGAACUGGCGAUGAGGGAUGAACCUAGCGUCGAGAUAAGGUGCCGGACUGCAUGCUAACCUAGACACCACAAAAGGUGUUGGUCCAUUCAGACAGCACGGACGGUGGCCAUGG
rnacentral:rRNA from 1 species